GGAUCAUCGGUGGGGUCAUGGGAUCAGUGGGAGACACGUCCCCAUUGGGAUCAUCGGUGGGGUCAUGGGAUGGAUGGGUGACACGUCACCAUUGGGAUCAUCGGUGGGGUCAUGGGAUCAAUGGGAGACACAUCACCAUUGGGAUCAUCGGUGGGGUCAUGGGAUCAGUGGGAUUGGUGGGAUGGAUGGGAUCAUCAGUGGGGUCAGGGAAUCAAUGGGUGAUAUGGGUGGGAUUGUGAGUGGGAUUACUGGUGGCAUCCAUGGGGUCAGAAUGAUUGGUGGGGUCACGUGGAUGGGUGGGAUCGCUGGGAUGGAUGGGAUCGCUGGGAUGGUUGGGAUCAUUGGGAUGGAUGGGAUCACUGAAUGGUGAGUGGGGUCACUGAGAUGCAUGGGAUGGGUGGGAUCACUGUAUGAUAGGUGGGGUCACUGGAAUGGAUGGCAUCAUUGGAUGAUGGACGGGAUCAUUGGGAUGGAUGGGAUCAUUGAAUGGUGGGUGUGAUGACUGGGAUCAUUGGGAUGGAUGGGAUCAUUGAUGGGAUGGGUGGGAUCACUGGUGGCAUCAGUGGGGUCACCGAGGUGGUGGUGCUGGGAUGGAUGGGAUCAUUGGAUGAUGGGUGGGGUCACUGGGAUGGAUGGGGUCACCGAAUGGUGGGUGGGAUCACUGGGAUCUCUGGGAUGGGUGGGAUCACUGUAUGAUGUGUGGGGUCACUGGGAUGGAUGACAUCAUUGGAUGAUGGAUGGGAUCCCUGGGAUGGAUGGGAUCACUGGGAUGGAUGGGAUCACCGAAUGGUGGGUGGGGUCACUGAAAUGGAUGGCAUCAUUGGAUGAUGGGGGGGAUCACAGGGAUGGAUGGGAUCAUUGGAUGAUGGAUGGGAUCACUGGGAAGGAUGGGAUCAUUGGUGGGAUGGGCGGGAUCACUGGUGGCAUCACUGGGGUCACUGACGUGGUGGUGCUGGGAUGGAUGGGAUCACCGAAUGAUGGGUGGGAUCUCUGGGAUGGAUGGGAUCACUGGGAUGGAUGGGAUCACUGGGAUGGAUGGCAUCAUUGGAUAAUGGAUGGGAUCAUUGGGAUGGAUGGGAUCACUGGAAUGGAUGGGAUCACCGAAUGGUGAGUGGGAUCAGUGGGAUGGAUGAGAUCAUUGGGAUGGAUGGGAUCAUUGGCGGGAUCAGUGUGGUCACCGAGGUGGUGGUUAUGGGAUGGAUGGGAUCAUUGAAUGAUGGGUGGGAUCGCUGGGAUGGAUGGCAUCAUUGGGAUGGAUGGGAUCACCAAAUGGUUGGUGGGAUCGCCGGGAUCACUGGGAUGGGUGGGAUCACUGAACGAUGGGUGGGGUCACUGGGAUGGAUGGCAUCAUUGGUUGAUGGGUGGGAUCGCUUGGAUGGUUGGGAUCAUUGGUGUGAUGGGUGGGCUCGCUGGUGGCAUCAGUGGGGUCACUGAGGUGGUGGUGCUGAGAUGGAUGGGAUCAUUGAAUGAUAGUGGGGUCACUGAGGUGGUGGUGCUGAGAUGGAUGGGAUCAUUGAAUGAUAGGUGGGUCACUGGGAUGGAUGGGAUCACUGGGAUGGAUGGGAUCACCGAAUGGUGGGUGGGAUUGCUGGGAUCACUGGGAUGGAUGGGAUCACUGGGAUGAGUGGGAUCAUUGGGAUGGAUUGGAACAUUGAAUGGUGGGGUGGGACUGCUGGGAUCACUGGGAUGGAUGGGAUCACUGGGAUGGGUGGGAUCAUUGGGAUGGAUUGGAACAUUGAAUGGUGGGUGGGACUGCUGGGAUCACUGGGAUGGGUGGGGUCACUGAACGAUGGGUGGGGUCACUGUGAUGGACAGCAUCAUUGGAUGAUGGGUGGGAUCGCUGGGAUGGAUGGGAUCAUUGGAUGGUGGAUGGGAUCACUGGGAUGGAUGGCAUCAUUGGAUGAUGGAUGGGAUCACUGGGAUGGAUGGGACCAUUGAAUGAUGGAUGGGAUCACUGGGAUGGAGGGGAUCGUUGGUGGGAUGGGUGGGAUCGCGGGGAUGGAUGGGAUCACUGAAUGGUGGGUGGGAUUGCUGGGAUCACUGGGAUGGGUGGGAUCACUGAA
ensembl:lncRNA